rnacentral:rRNA from 1 species
AAGCAUAUCAUUAAGCGGAGGAAAAGAAACUAACAAGGAUUCCCCCAGUAACGGCGAGUGAAGCGGGAAGAGCUCAAGCUUAAAAUCUCCAUACUUGUAUGGCGAAUUGUAGUCUAUUGAGGCUGUUGUCAGCAUCGCGAUUGGGGACAAGUCCCUUGGAAAAGGGCAGCAUAGAGGGUGAUACUCCCGUCUCUGCUCCAAUCUGCGGUGUGUACGAUACGCUUUCUUUGAGUCGAGUUGUUUGGGAAUACAGCUCAAAGUAGGUGGUAAAUUCCAUCUAAAGCUAAAUAUUGGUGCGAGACCGAUAGCGAACAAGUACCGUGAGGGAAAGAUGAAAAGAACUUUGAAAAGAGAGUUAAAGAGUACCUGAAACUGUUGAAAGGGAACCGUAUCGUUUCCAGUGUUGUAUCCUAUGCAUAUUUCAUUCGUGGAGCAAUUUGCGGGUGCCCUGUGCAUGGGUGUGACGUCAGGGUCAGUUUGUAUGCUGCGGGAGAUGGUCAGUGAGGAGGUGCGUCACUUUGGUGAAAGUUAUAUCUCGCUGUCUAGUAGCCGUGGUUGAGACUGAGGUGCCUACAACAUGCCUUAAGGUUCCGUGUUGUCUCGUGUUGGUGACUGCUUUGAUAGCUUGCUAUGUUUGUGGUUUAUUAGUGCGAUUGAUGAUGCGGAUAACUUUUGCUGUUCGGGACUCUGG